GCAAUUGAUGCAUAUAGUGGCUUCUUCUCCGCAUGUGGUAACAAGCAUUUCAAUUGGGGGAGGUGGGACGCUGAUCUCUGUUUACCUGGACGACCUCACCAUCCUGUCUUAUGCUUAGUUGAGCUGGGUAAGCCGUGCUAUUCCAAUCUCAAGGUGGUGAACAACAGCUAGCACCAUGUCGAGUUCAAGGUCAAGACGACAUCUCCAGGGUAGUAUUUCGACGGGCCAACCGUGAGCUUCGUCCAGCCAUGGGAUUCUUGCUUGAUAACAAUUAUAGUAGCCUAGAGGACACAAAUGCUAAAAAGGAAGAAAGCUCUCAUCACAUCAACAACAUGAUUAGAUUACAAUAUUGAUGUGUAAUAAGGGAAUGAUACAGAGGUAGUCACUAUAUCCAUUUUUACGCCGAUUUGUCUCUCUUUGAAAAUUCUGUACUGUUGAUGUGUAAGCGGAAGCUUUGUAAAA